rnacentral:rRNA from 1 species
AGCAGUCGCCACGGUAAUACGAAGAGGGCUAGCGUUGUUCGGAAUUACUGGGCGUAAAGCGCACGUAGGCGGAUAUUUAAGUCAGGGGUGAAAUCCCGCAGCUCAACUGCGGAACUGCCUUUGAUACUGGGUAUCUUGAGUAUGGAAGAGGUUAGUGGAAUUGCGAGUGUAGAGGUGAAAUUCGUAGAUAUUCGCAGGAACACCAGUGGCGAAGGCGGCUAACUGGUCCAUAACUGACGCUGAGGUGCGAAAGCGUGGGGAGCAAACAGGAUUAGAUACCCCCGUAGUCCCUGUCUCUUAUAU